AGUCCACAUCGACGGGGAGGUUUGGCACCUCGAUGUCGGCUCAUCACAUCCUGGGGCUGUAGUAGGUCCCAAGGGUUGGGCUGUUCGCCCAUUAAAGUGGUACGCGAGCUGGGUUCAGAACGUCGUGAGACAGUUCGGUCCCUAUCCGUCGCAGGCGUAGGAAAGUUGAGAAGACCUGUCCUUAGUACGAGAGGACCGGGAUGGACGUACCUCUGGUGUACCAGUUGUCCUGCCAAGGGCAUGGCUGGGUAGCUAUGUACGGAAUGGAUAAGCGCUGAAAGCAUCUAAGCGCGAAGCCAACUUCAAGAUAAGAUUUCCCACCGCAAGGGUAAGACCCCAGAAAGACUAUCUGGUUG
rnacentral:rRNA from 1 species